CUAUCGAUAAAAGGUCGCCAGCUGUUCGGCGAAUGUUACGUGAUUUCUUAUUUGUAACAUUGCUAAAACUCGAGUAAAAUGAAUCAAGCCGAUGUAACAAAGCUCAUGUCACAGCUGCGUAUAGCGGUUAGACCCAACAAGCGCCACCUGAAGAAUGCCGAUGGCCCGGAAGGUCGGCUGCUGAAGCUGCGUAAGACCGUCACUGCGUUGGUGAAGCACGAGCGUAUUGAACUGUUCUACAACCGUGCCGAUGAAGCUCGUGGCUACGCCGAACUGCUCAUUUCCAAUGCCAUACGCCAUGGGGACCGACACCAAGCGACCAUGGAACUGGCGGACUAUUGGCUGCUGGAAAAGCAACUGGUUCAUAAGCUGUUCAAGGUGCUGGUACCGCGCUAUGAGAACUACAAUGUGUCCUACACUCGCAUGUACAAAGCCCCUCGGGAGUAUCCCGGCAUCUACUACAGGCGGUCUGUGCUGGAGCUUCGGGGCAAUCCCUACCCUUCGCUGGCGGCGGAUCAGUCUCAGAACCGGAAUCUGCUGCACAAUGUGCUUCUGGACGAGGCGAGAAAGGAGUUUAGGCGUCAGAAACUGUCGGAGUUAGUUCACUAACUAGCUCUAUUCACCAGCCGCCUGUUUAUUUAGUAGAUUAGCAAGCAGUUUGUCGCUUAGAAUUCACGUAAGACUUAAAAGCAUCUUUAUUAUAAAUUGAUUGAAGUAAUCCGGUUUCCAAUCUACUGAGUUAGAGAAUUAGCUUUCGAAUGAUUCAAAUUCUGAACGGAUAACUUACCCUUUCCCGUAAGGCAGGCAUCCCGAUGCAUUUCACAAAUGCUGUAGAAGAAUUGGUGCUCAUUUGUCGACGAUGCGCAGACAGGCAGAAACGGAUCACAAUUUGUAAUAGUACUACACCCCGAGCUGCUGCUCAAUACUGGCAGAGAUACAGACAGCGCAAGGAACACUAUAAUGUUGAAGAUCAGGAACCAAGCCAAAUAAAUAUUCAUUUUGGACGAA